UGCGCAGGCGGCGGAGUGUGUCAGGUGUGAAAGCCCGAGGCUUAACCUCGGAAUCGCGCCUGAAACUGCUCGGCUAGAGCAUUGGAGAGGGUAGCGGAAUUCACGGUGUAGCAGUGAAAUGCGUAGAUAUCGUGAGGAACACCAGAGGCGAAGGCGGCUACCUGGACAAUUGCUGACGCUCAGGCACGAAAGCGUGGGGAGCAAAAGGGAUUAGAUACCCCUGUAGUCCACGCCCUAAACGGUGCACACUAGGUCUUGGCGGAUUCGACCCCUCCAGGGCCCAAGCUAACGCGUUAAGUGUGCCGCCUGAGGACUACGGCCGCAAGGCUAAA
rnacentral:rRNA from 1 species